rnacentral:lncRNA from 1 species
GUUUAGAUGGAGUUAGGAGAGGGGAACUCUUAAAGUGGGAUUAGCAUUCUUAUAAGAGACACUGGAGCUGCUUCUCUCUACCCAGUGAGGACACAGAGAGAAGGUGGGUGUCUACAAACCAACUAGAUCUUCACCAUGAACCGAAUCGGCCAACUCCUUGAUCUGAGACUUCAGCUUCCAUAUCUGUGAGGAGUGAACUUCUGAUGCUCGAGCCACUCGGCCUGGGCUACUUGGGUACAGACUGAGGCGGUCCUUCUGCAACGUAGCUGAACAGCCUUGAUUAUCUCCUCACACACCUUGGACUGACUCGGGGUCAAUCUAUGAGACUGAAAACCAAGAGGAAAGCAAGCCAAAAUGGAGAAGACACCCAUAGCCCACAGGCAGCUGCGGAGCUAAGGUAAGCACCAUAAAUGUGUAUCACAAACCCAAAUUAGGGGUUCAGACACAGCCACUGAGCUGAGGACCACUGAGCAAGAUGAGAACACACUGCUGGGAGCCUGGAUGCGGGAUGCUGGAUGCUGGAAAGCAGCUCUGCAGCCGAGUGAGUCACAAGCCACAAUAGAGGCAGACCCCCUCCCCGAGACUCAACAACGGGACUCCGCGCCCCUGAGAAGAACUGUGCUAACAACAACAUC